rnacentral:tRNA from 8 species
GCGGGUGUAGCUCAGUGGUAGAGCUCCAGCCUUCCAAGCUGGCCAUGUGGGUUCGAUUCCCAUCACCCGCUCCA